rnacentral:rRNA from 1 species
GUGAGGAAUAUUGGUCAAUGGGCGCAAGCCUGAACCAGCCAUGCCGCGUGCAGGAAGACGGUCCUAUGGAUUGUAAACUGCUUUUAUUUGGGAAUAAACUCCGGUACGUGUACCGGCCUGAAGGUACCAAAUGAAUAAGCACCGGCUAACUCCAUGCCAGCAGCCGCGGUAAUACGGAGGGUGCAAGCGUUAUCCGGAAUCAUUGGGUUUAAAGGGUCCGCAGACGGUCUUAUAAGUCAGUGGUGAAAGCCUACAGAUCAACUGUAGAACUGCCAUUGAUACUGUAGGACUUGAAUUCGAUCGAAGUGGGCGGAAUGUGACAUGUAGCGGUGAAAUGCUUAGAUAUGUCACAGAACACCGAUAGCGAAGGCAGCGCACUAAGCAAAUAUUGACGCUGAGGCACGAAAGCGUGGGGAUCAAACAGGAUUAGAAACCCCUGUAGUCC